UGCUUCCUACUUGUUGUUUUUGAUAAGACAACGUCACAUUGCUUACCAAAUCUAAUAUAUUAUUAUAAAAAUAUUUAACUGAUAGAUAAAUAUUUUUUAUCUGAAAUAAAAAUUCUUAUCAAAUAUUAUUAUAACCUUUAAAUCAUAGAUAAUUCUGAAAUAUAAUUUUUUCAUAUCUGAAAUAUAAACUGGAAAAAGGAUAGACGUCUUCUUAUUUAUUUACACGAUUAUUUACUAUUGUAAAUAAUUUUUUUCUUUAGUGAUUCAAUAAGAUAAUAAUCAGAUUUCUCAAAAAAAAAAGAUAAUAAUCAGGGCAAUGUCGGAGAAAAAAUCAAGGCAAUAAUCAAUUUAUUGACACAGUAAGAGACACAGACAAUUAUAUAACUAGAACAAAUUGUGCGUUUUGUUGUUUUGGUUUUAUUUUCUCGUGAACGGUUAAUUCUAAACAAAGAGCUGCUUCGCUAUCAUUAGGCUUCGGUCCUAAGGAAUUAUUCCUUUAUAAGUUCGAAGCCUAAGGAAUUAUUCAUCCCUUGAACCUAGAUCCGUUACUGAGAUAGAGAUCAUGGAUACUGAACUUAUUGUCAUCAUGUUAGCCUAUUUUGCUUUUGUCUUGGUGAUUCUUAUAGUAAAUCUAGUGAGCUGUUGUGGGGAGAUGUAUUCUGAUGAUUUUAUAUUGACAAAUACGAAAGUCAUUGGUGGCGGUGAUGACGGCAACGGCAACGGCAAAGAUGGAGGAGGAUGUAAUGGUGGUAGCGACAACGGUAGUCGUCGAGAAUCUGAUGGUGGUGUCGGUGGGUUAGUGGUCGUGGUGGUGGUUGUCGCGGGGGAGAAUGUGGUGACGGCGGAGGAUUAAUUACUCAUUCCACUUUCGUGUUGAACUUUAAGUGGUUUUUUGUUUUUUUUUUAUGGUUUGUUUUAUAAUUUUAAAUAGUUGAUUUUAUUAAUUUUCGUAGACAUUCUGAUCC